AUUCACGACACAAGGAACCGUUUAGACAAAUUCUUGGGACGGCCUUAUGACGUUCUGAUGACGUGUUUCGCACUGGGCAUGCUCAAGUACGCCACUGAAAAGUACAUGGAGGCCCUCUACUUGGCUGAGAGGACCAUAAAACUAUGCGAGAAAGGGGAAUUGCAAGCCAGAGACAAAAAAGAAUUGACUACUUUCUUCAAGAUGAUUCGCCGCAAGCUACCAAACCAAGUGACUGCCGUCCUGAAACAUUUCACACAAAUGCAAUGGCCCUGAGCUGCCGUGGUCCGUAGGGAAAGCAAUGCAAAAUGUGAGACGCAACAAACUACGAGCACAUUUAUUCAUACGUACAAACAAAAAUAAACUAGUGAGCCUAGAGUAUUAUUGCACGCUUGUGCUAAUCGUUCAUACUCAGACAUAACUUUGACAUUUAAAGACAUGAUGUUAUAUCUCCCGGUCUGUGCUUUUUGUACAUGAGAAUCAAGCAUUCUCUAGAGCUAGAUAUUUCAUCGACUUUGACGAGACAUUUUACAGGAUCAAAUGUUUUAGAGAGUAGAUACAGCAGCACCUCAGAAACAUAUUAUUUCAAUAGGCAAGAUUGUUUAUUUCCAGGUCUAUGUUUUGUACAUGUACUGGUGAUACAUGAGAACCAAACUGAGUAUCUCUACGGUUAUUUCAUCGACUUUGACAAGUCGUUUUUAUUAGAACGACCAAUAUUUUAGUUUGUAGUUAUGUACAUGUAUUAUAAAUUUCCCAGAAAAAUUUAAUUUCAUAAACUUUAUCACCUGUGUUCUCAUGUACUAGAAAAGAUAAGAUACAAGUCCAGACCAAUACGCUGAGACCCACUACUACAUCAUGUUCUGUCAUUUAUUUUUUUAUACAUUUACUUUAUAGAGAUUGAAAGAGUAUGAAAGAGUAAGGUUUGGAUGGCUAACAUAAAGGAGCUGCAGUUCUGUCUCAAGUUAUCAAGCUUCAAUCUUGUCUUAUCCUUAAUGUGCACAAUGCUCUGAAAUUUUUGUUUAUUCCAAAAUCACAUUGCGAAGCAGGUUAAAUUCU